CCCUCCCCUGUCAAGGGGGUUCUUACCAUGCAAGUCGACGAUGAACCCGAAGCUUGCUUUGGGGGAUUAGUGGCGAACGGGUGAGUAACACGUGAGCAACCUGCCCCUCACUCUGGGAUAAGCGCUGGAAACGGCGUCUAAUACUGGAUACGAGUCGCAACCGCAUGGUUAGUGACUGGAAAGAUUUUUUGGUGGGGGAUGGGCUCGCGGCCUAUCAGCUUGUUGGUGAGGUAAUGGCUCACCAAGGCGUCGACGGGUAGCCGGCCUGAGAGGGUGACCGGCCACACUGGGACUGAGACACGGCCCAGACUCCUACGGGAGGCAGCAGUGGGGAAUAUUGCACAAUGGGCGGAAGCCUGAUGCAGCAACGCCGCGUGAGGGAUGACGGCCUUCGGGUUGUAAACCUCUUUUAGCAGGGAAGAAGCGAAAGUGACGGUACCUGCAGAAAAAGCACCGGCUAACUACGUGCCAGCAGCCGCGGUAAUACGUAGGGUGCAAGCGUUAUCCGGAAUUAUUGGGCGUAAAGAGCUCGUAGGCGGUUUGUCGCGUCUGCUGUGAAAUCCCGAGGCUCAACCUCGGGCCUGCAGUGGGUACGGGCAGACUAGAGUGCGGUAGGGGAGAUUGGAAUUCCUGGUGUAGCGGUGGAAUGCGCAGAUAUCAGGAGGAACACCGAUGGCGAAGGCAGAUCUCUGGGCCGUAACUGACGCUGAGGAGCGAAAGGGUGGGGAGCAAACAGGCUUAGAUACCCUGGUAGUCCACCCCGUAAACGUUGGGAACUAGUUGUGGGGUCCUUUCCACGGAUUCCGUGACGCAGCUAACGCAUUAAGUUCCCCGCCUGGGGAGUACGGCCGCAAGGCUAAAACUCAAAGGAAUUGACGGGGACCCGCACAAGCGGCGGAGCAUGCGGAUUAAUUCGAUGCAACGCGAAGAACCUUACCAAGGCUUGACAUACACGAGAACGGGUCAGAAAUGGUCAACUCUUUGGACACUCGUGAACAGGUGGUGCAUGGAUUGUCGUCAGCUCGUGUCGUGAGAUGGUGGGGUUAAGGUCCCGGCACGAGCGCAAACCCUCGUUCCUAAUGUUGCCCAGCCACGUAAUUGUGGGA
rnacentral:rRNA from 1 species